rnacentral:tRNA from 1 species
GCCGGGGUGGUGAAAUUGGUAGACGCGGCGGACUCAAAAUCCGCUGCCGCAAGGCGUGUCGGUUCGAGUCCGACCCUCGGCACCA